rnacentral:tRNA from 1 species
GCCUUUGUGGUGUAGCGGUCAGCACGCUGGGCGCAUAUUCCAGAGGUCCGUGGUUCGAGUCCCAGCGAAGGCG